CCAAAACGGCCCGAAUACAAAAUUCCUCUGGUCAAAACUAAAAGCCUUUGCGUCUUUCUUGUUGGCCUUUCUUCUCCACACUGUUCCAGUUCCACUUUUUCGUUUUUUUCACUCUUCAGUCCUUCCUUGAUUCUUCAACGGAAGGUUUUUUUUUUUUUUUUUUUUGUGUGGUUUAAUGUAUUUGCCCAAUUCAAAAUGUAUUGAACAGUUUUUCAUUGGUUUUUGACUUGUCAUUUGCCUUUUUACCUAACCAUCGCCGUCGCCACCGCCACCUACGUUUUUGGUCAUGCACACACACGUGUGUGUAUGUGUGUGGUUGUCUGUAAAGGCUUUUGAUGAACGCCAUUGUGUUAAAACUCCAUGAUUUAUUCUUAUGCUAUGGGAUCUGGGAUCUGAUGGCAUUUUCACGGUUUUACCUCAGUUCACCGAUUUUUUUAUCAUAGAGAUGAUAAAUGACUUAAUGUUGGUGGGUUGGAGAAUUGAGGUGUUGCAAUAAAGAUUAAACUAGCGUAAGGUAUGUCCAUAAUACAUAUAAAGGCUACGCCAUGGUCAGUGAUCGUCUAUGAUCGGCUUCACGUGCUCGGAAGUGAUUCGUGAGAAUUUAAGCGUUUCUUGACCUGUCUGAACUGAAGCAUGUCUCCUUGUUUGCUGGUCAUUAAUUACUAUGGAUUUUUUGGUCGCUGUUGAGUGCUUCAAUUUCUGGAAACCAUCAAAGUCAAAGGUCACGGAGGGUUGCUAUACCAUGGGGAUGAUAAAAUCGAAUACGCUGUCUUGUUGGAAAAUUAUACUUAUUAGAAGUAGUGGUAGUUAUAGAUAUGGAACAAACAAGAGAAAAGGUCGCAAUAGCGAGACUCUUGUAUUUCAAAGGUAACCAGCCAACUGCUUAUUGAGAUAAAUUAGGGGGAAUUUGAAUACGUAUAUUUUAGUGGCUCCCCCGGAAGAAAAGCCUUCAAAUGGUCAAUCGAUUUUAGAGCUUGUGUUCAUUUCUUCACAUUUACUAA